rnacentral:other from 1 species
GUAGUUCUUGUGGGCUGAUGACAAAGUAAACCCUACAAGUAUAUGUUUCGGGGACUGUCCCUGACGAUGGUGAGCAAGCUCACAGAUUCCAGUGAGAAGCCUAAAGUCGUUACUAUGGUCACCCACCUAUUUAACUUGGGUUUACUUGGAUCACUCAGCACCACAAGGAUUUUU